AGUCCAGUAGCUCAGAAGGUAGAGCAACGAAUACUUUUCGCCAUCAGCACAAAAAGGUUCCUAUAAAGAUUCAUAAUCCGUGUGUCGUGGGUUCGAUUCCCACCUGGACUA
rnacentral:tRNA from 1 species